AUAUAUAUAUAUAUAUAUAUAUAUAGGCUGUGGCUACUAUAUUCUUAUGAGUAUAGGUCCUCUUGUACUCAUAAAUUUUUAACCGUUGAUUGAUGGGAUGUGUGGUUAGAAUGAUGGUGGUUCCCACUUAUAAUGAUAGUGGUCCAUUAGGGUUGAGUGGGUAGUUGGUUGAAUAGUAUGAUCUAACUCAUAAAAAUGAUUAAUGGAAUAAAUCCAAGGGCCGAAAACUUAUGAGUAUGAGAAAGCCAAUACUCAUAAAUGAUGUCGAAAAAUUAUGAAAUUUAGUUUCCAAAUACUUUUAAUAGUGUAAAUCAAGUCUAACGGAGCUGAUCGUCGAUUUGGAAGCCGCAUCAUUGAGAACAACUUGGUAGCACGGAGGCCUCCGUGCUACCGAUAGUAUACCAGCCUAGCUCUAUAUAUAUAUACAUAUAUCGCCGGUAAUUUUAACUCCAACACUGCAUUUUGUUUUUGAAUGAUAACUUUUUUUCCAAAAAAAAAAAAAU
rnacentral:lncRNA from 1 species